UUAGCAUGUAAAAUUCAUGCAAACAUCAAUCACUUCAAAUUUCUUAUAUUGAUAACUAAUCAGAUUGUAAAGAGUUUUAUUUAGGGCAUAAAACCCAACAGUUCUGAGUUAUGAAGCAUUGGAACUUCAGCCGGACUUGUCAUACGAGGAACAACCAGUGCAAAUACUUGAUAGAAGAGAAAAAGUCUUGAGAAGCAAGACAGUGGCACUGGUGAAAGUACUGUGGAGGAACAGUAAAGUAGAAGAGGCAACCUGGGAACUCGAGACGGAUAUGCAGCAGAAAUAUCCGGAGUUGUUCAGGUAAAUUUCGGGACGAAAUUUCUAUAAGGAGGGGGUAAUUGUAAUACCCGGAAUUAAGAAAUGGAUUAGCAAAACCCUGACUAGAUAAUUAUGAGUUAAUUGAGGAAUUAUAUUAUUAUAUAGUUCAACAUAUGUGAAAUUAUAUGAAUUUAACAUGUUAAGACCCCGUUGGUGAGCCAGGGGCAUUUUGGUAAUUAUGACCCGAGAAGGGUAAAUUGAUGAAAUUAAGUUAAUUACGUGCUUAAUAGAACUAUAUUAUUAUAUAGUAUGCCUGUGUUGUCUUUUCAGGUGUGUUCUGACAGGUUGGCGCGGUAUAGUCACAACGGGGUAUUUCGGGCCGAACCGGGUUCGGGCCCGAAAUUAAAAUUAGAUUGAAUUAAUUGGCAUUUUAAUUGAUAUUUGAUAAUCUGAAAUUUAAUUGGGUUUGAAAUUGUGUGUUAAUGCCAUUUUUGCCCUUGUAUGUUUAAAGUGGAAGUUAUAUGGCCCUAAGGGCAUUUUAGUCAUUUGGCUUUAUGAGAUAAGUGUGUGAAAUGGCAUUUUUGACAAAAAUGAAAAAGAAAAUAGAAUUUUCUGGUUGUAACUCUCUUGGCCGACCCCCCCUCUCUCUCUCAAACCCUUUUCUUUUUCAAUUUUGAUUUUUGAAGAAAUUGCUUGGAUUUGGCCUUGAAUUGAAGCUUUGAGUUUGUAGAUUUUUGAGCUUGUUCUUGGAUUGAGUUUGAGGAUUACCGGCACCUGGUCAGGAGCACCCGGGGAUUUGGAAUCUCUACUAUUGCGGGACAACAGGAAAGGGUAAGGCAUUAGCUGAUCAGCCAUGAGUUUCAGGAGCAGGGCGAAGAAUGUACUUGUUCAUGCCACUUCAGACCAAGCGGGUUAUGGGUCUAACAGUGUUGACUUUUGUAUUCUGUUUUGCCGCUUAGGUCGGCUAGUAAGAAAGAACUUGUAAUAAUUUUGUAAAUAUUUUUGGGAUCCCAACUAUGUUUGAAAAAGUUUAAAUAUAUUACAAGUUUAUUUUCAGUC